GACGAACGCUGGCGGCGUGCUUAACACAUGCAAGUCGAACGAUGAAGCCAGCUUGCUGGUGGAUUAGUCGCGAACGGGUGAGUAACACGUGGGUGAUCUGCCCCAAACUUUGUGAUAAGCCUGGGAAACUGUGUCUAAUACCGAAUAUGACCGAUACUCGCAUGGGUGUUGGUGGAAAGCUCCGGCGGUUUGGGAUGGGCCCGCGGCCUAUCAGCUUGUUGGUGGGGUAAUGGCCUACCAAGGCGACGACGGGUAGCCGGCCUGAGAGGGCGACCGGCCACACUGGGACUGAGACACGGCCCAGACUCCUACGGGAGGCAGCAGUGGGGAAUAUUGCACAAUGGGCGCAAGCCUGAUGCAGCGACGCCGCGUGAGGGAUGACGGCCUUCGGGUUGUAAACCUCUUUCACCAGGGACGAAGCGAAAGUGACGGUACCUGGAGAAGAAGCACCGGCCAACUACGUG
rnacentral:rRNA from 1 species